ensembl:lncRNA
UUUUUUUUUUUUUUUUUAAGUGAAAAGUAGUCUAGGAGGCAAGAGCCAAUUCCAAUACUAGUUCCUUGUUCCCCAGUAACCUAAUAAUGGGUUAUAUGUAUAUUCUACAUAGUUUAUAAGUAGUUUAGCAUGCUAUUUUGCUUAACUGUAUCUCAUUUUAGCCAUCCAAAAAUUAGUUUCUAAUGUUUGCUAGUUUUCUAAGCUCUUAAUAGUAGAGAGAUGGAGAUCUUUACAGAAAGAUGUCGUGGACUUAUCUGAAAAACCAUAAAUCACUUUUUGACAGCGUCUUUUUCUUUUCAUAGACUAUAAUGGGAACACAGAGAAGUUAAGACAAGCUGCCAAACUUUUAGACAGCUAUAAUUAAUGUGGAUGAAUCCCAUCUCUUAUGCUUUUUAGCUUUUCAAUCAAACUUUCGUGUGGUGCAAAGCCAGUUCUCUUACAGGCAUCUAUCAAAAUGGUUGCCUUUAGCAGUCCCAUUUGUAAUCACAUCAGAAAAUGGUAUCAAUUUAGCUUGACAAAAUCUGCUUUCCAGAAACUCAUGUGGAUCAACUUCAAUUUGAUUAUCCCUUUUAGUUCUCUAUCAGGUUAGUUAUCACUUAUGCCUCUUUUGCUUUUUUAUCAGAUCCUUUUAUCAAAUCCCUACUUUUUUUACUUUAAUAUUGACAUACAUCCAAGCUGUGAAAAAUCUGAGGCUCUGAUGUCUUAGAUUUUUUUGUUUCCACCCCAUCUAUAUCAGAUGGACUUUUCUCUGAGGUACUCUUUCAAUCCCUGAUCAGACACCAGGAGGUCUCUGGAUGACUUAGAGCCAUUUCUGAUAAGAUAUCCUUUCCAUGCAGCUUGUCCAUAUGGUUAAGUUCUGCAACCUGCACAAUAGAGGUAAUGGUUUUGGGUUUUUAGUUAUUUUUUGGUGUGGUUUGGUGGUUUUAGUUUGGUUGGGUUUUUUUUUUAAUUAGUUUUUUCCUUUUUUUAGGGCUUAAAGUAAAACAUUUCAUAAAUAUAUUAGAUUGUGUGUUUCUCUUUCCAAACAUGCAUGAUUUUAAACUUUUUGUGUUUUAUUAUCUGAGGAAAAGUUACCACAUUUUUGAUUUUUCUUCAUCUUUCACAUUUCUUUUUCUUUGUAAAAUAGAGAUGUCUGGUAGAAAACAGACAGACCAAAGUAAUCUGUUGCCCUCUGACUGCAGAAAUGCUUACAGGGCUGAAGGGAAAGCUGUGACCUUGUACUACUUGCAUGGUAAGGGAUGGAAACCAACUGACCUUUUUUAUUUAAUAUUGUUGCAUAAGCAGAAUGCUCUGGAAUGAGUUCUGCCUUCAAAUUUAAAGAAUGCUUGCAGAACAAAAGCAAGAGGAGAAAAUUUAAUGGUAUUUUCCUGAUAUGAGAACUCCCCAAAACUCAAAACUACCUGACAGAGAAGAAAUACUCUUGCAAGAGUGUUCAAGCCAAUGUCAUCUUGGAAACUACUGGUGGCAAUUGAAAUACCAAAAUGCUAAUUUACCUGGUACCAAAGCUGUGAAGGCAAGUCAUUGGCAUCCUGUCCCAGCUGAUCCCUCUGUCAGAUUUUGAGUAGCACCUCAAAGGACAGAAAGUCUUAAUUUUUCAUUCCAGCUACUCCUGUUCAUCUGUGGGAGGGCUGUGUUGCCAUUGUAGAAGUGUAUCCUUUCACAGGAUGCAUCAGGAUUUCUUGUACUCAACAAAUGGUGAACUGCAAUGUCAACAAUUAGAGGAAUAAUUUAUUGUCUGUAAAGAUGGAUUACAGAAAUAGUUCAAUGAUAUGUCCUUCUUUCUGGGUAAUCCAAGGACAGAUUUUGAUGGGAGGGCAAGGUGGUGUCACCUGGAAAUGAUAUUUCACACUGCCUAAUUCUGAGUCUUCUGAUAAGUAUCAGGGAUCCUGUUAAUGUCUAGUGAAACCACCCACUGUUGGAAGAUAUUUCACCUCAGUUGGAGGUGUCUGGAAUUUUCUUUCUUCUCUUUCCUUAGUCUUAUAACUUCCUUCAGUUUUUGCUACUGUCUGCUAUUUCUUCUUCUGCAUCAGAACCAAAGGUAAUAGUUUUUCAGAGGCCAGACUACCAAAUGGGCCAGUUGGAGAGUUUCAGUUCAAAUGGGUUCUGAGGGUGUUGUUUUUUUUUUUUUAAUUCCUACUUUGCCAGAGUAGUGUCGUGUAGGAUAUUUGGAGAGAAUAUUUUCCAAAAUGCAGUUUUGUAGUCCAGAACUAAUAUCUUGCAACACAUCAAGGGCUUCACAGCACUACAUAGUUGCCUCUCCAACAUCUCCUACAUCAUAUUAAAAGAAUAUUUGCACUGAAGCCAUUUCAGAUCUUUGGGACAGAUCACACUUAGGCUCAUUAUAGGAGUUACCUAACCAGCAAUGAGUUGCAUUUCAUAAUGAAGGUAUUUACAUGAUUACUUCUUGGGAGGUGUUCAUCCAAGUGUAAAUUACUCUGCCUCAGAACAGACUUUAGCUGGUGCUGACAGCUUGGAUGACUGGCACAUUGUCAUUUUCAUAACACACCUAAAAGGAAGGUGCCAAAAGAACCUAAGUGGCAUUGGUGCAGAGAAAAAUUUCCAGUAAAAAUUUGUCUCAAGGUAUAUUUGUUGGUUUCAGUUAAUAUCUGGGAUAAAACAGAUUAAAAACUAUUAUUUUUCUUUCACACUAUAUAGGGAGGAGGAAUCUCCAUUCAUGUGAAAGCAGUGUAUUGGUGAUAAUGCCAUGGUAACACAAAAUUAUGUGGUUUAUGCUUCUUCUAAUGCAUAGUCAUCCUCUUUUCAGCUGUCCCUGAACUACUCCAGCUGUGUUAAUGUCAUGAAAACAGUUUAUUUUCUCUCCUAGCCAUUUUGUCAGAGGUUUUGUGGGGUGAAACUUCUUUGCUCUUGUGGAUGUUUUGCCUAAAGAAUAGAAGGGAUCUGCAGUCAGUCCAUGUGCCAGGUAGUCAGUCGUGCUCCUCUCUCUGUUGACCAGUUACAACAAAAUUCAAUGUAAAAAAAAUCUCUGAAAUUAAAUUCCUACUAGUAUUAGGAAAAGUGGUGGUUAAAAAGAGCAGACAGACUCAAUUUACUCCCCCCAUUCCUCUGGACAAGAGAAUUGCCACACCAGAGUGAUGCUACAUGUGCUCCAGGGUUCACACAUUACCAAGCACAUCUCACAUGCACUUUAUUAGCCAGAGUAUAAUCCAGACAUGGGAUGCAAAUCAAAGUGAACCACACUUUGUGAGUUUACAGCUCAGGAAAUGGAGAGAGGCUGCUUUCCUUCUGCUCACUGCAACAGAAGUCCUUUUGAAAAGAAUGCUGGUUCCAAGCUCUGCUUGGGAAGUGUGCUGCAUGUGAUUUCAUCCCAUUAGCUGUGAUGGUCACCAUUCGGUCCUGUAAGUGAUGACGUGAUGUAAUGGGGGAAAGGGUUGUUUCCAGUGUUAUCAGUAUAAAUCUUCCUGUGAACACUUGACCAAGAACACACAUGUUUUGCAAUUAUGUCAGUUUAAAGAAAGAAGCAAUUUCCCCACAGUACUGUAGAAUGGUUUUGGUUUUAUUUAUUUUUUUUUUUCUGGCAAGAGAUGUGAAGAAUUUGCCAUUUCUAUAUAUAUUAUAAUAAUUUUUAAUGCUGGAAUGGUUCACAUCCAGAAUUUUAAAACAGGAGGCAUGUAGCCCAGAGUUUUGUUUGUUUCAUUUAUUUAGCAUGGCAUGGCUAGGUCCUGGAACUAGCUUAUAUGAGGUCAUUACCCUAUUGAUUAAAUAGUGUGAUGAAAAGGGCAUGAUAAUACACUGCUGGGAGAUUAUUGCCAGACACUUUGCAAACAAAGCUGCUGAAAGGGGAAGAGUUGUGAGACCUUCAGUAUGGUGUGUAAUUAGCAAGCAAGUAGGAAUUAAAAUAAAGGAUACAUGGCGUGAUACAGUGAUUAUAUGCAGAUAAAUAAUGUUUUGAAUACUCCCUUUUGGUAACUCUAAUGAGAAUACAUCUUAGUACAGGAAAUGUCUGCUGGGACUAGACUAUCCAGAAUCCUUAAACAAGCUGUGCAGAAAGUUGUCCUCAAAGUGAAAAAAAAAAAAAACAAAGCAUGGAUGCAAUGUUCUGGAUCUGCCUCUUUCUUCAAAACUUUUUCUCUGUGUUUUUCUUUUCUUUGAAAAAUUUCAUACUGGUAAAACGAGUGUUAGAGAAAAACAGCACAUCUGUGCUUUUUCUUUGGGAUGGAGCACCAUUUCUUUAAAAAACUCCAAACAAUCUUUUGGGGGACAACAACUGGAUUUGAACAAACUACCUUUUGAGUGGGAAACAUCAACCACUACAACAUGAAAGAGUUGUCUACAGCUGGGAUGUACAGGCAGUGCCAAACUUGUGAUUCUUGCACUCAGCCUCCCCUCUGUCCCUCUGAGGAGCACAAAUACACGUUCCUGAAAUAAAUCAGGGCACCUGAUUUAUUCUGGGGCAUGUGUUUCACCUCAGCACCAAGGCCUACAAAUCCCAACAGAUCAGAGCCUCUUCAGGCAGCAUCUCAGUUGCCUAAAGGGAAAUUAAAUGGAAAUUUUCAGAAUAAGGCAUAGACCAACUUUAAGGAGAGAGAGAUGGAUAAACAUUGGCAGACAUCUUUCUGGCCAUUUCUUUGCCCAGAUUUAAGAUCCUUCCAGUCAUGAAAUUCAUCACAAGACAAAGCAAAUUUCCAAAAUAAUAUCAGUAUAAUACUUCAGAGCUGUUACCCAUGGUUUUAUAGAUAUGGGAUGGAUAGCUCCUAUCUCAGUGUCUAUCCAAAAUUUCAAGCUGCACAUUAAAUAGAGAAACUUAAACAGCCACAUCAGCAGUAACAGUGGGAGAGAAGGGGGCACCAGGGGAAAAAAUAAGAGAAGGGAGAAGAGAGGAAAAGAGAAAAACAGUCUUUUGUGCCGGAAAGCAUCCACUCAAGACAGAAGGGUUGAAGCAUCCAUGGUGAGGGCAAAGUAAAUGGGGAAUGCUGUGUCUGGCUCUAUUAACCUUAAUUUUAAUUCCUCUUUUCCAUUUUUCAGCUUAAGUAAGCAAGCAUAUAGUCAUGUUUAUAUAAUAGCUGGAGUAAUGAAGAUGGAAUAUACCAAUUUGGGGCUAAUUCUUGCCCUCAGGAGAGCACAGGCACUGCAGCUGGGGCCAGCCCCUACCCAAAAGGAGUGGUGAGGAGAACAGUUCCUUGCAUCUGACUUCCCAUUACAUCCUCACCAGGGACCACCAUAGUCUAGCCCUUAGAAUAAAUAGAUUAGGUUAAUUUUUCCAUCUGUAGAGGUGGUUUAGCAGCUCUCAGCAUUGGUUCAGUUGUGCUGCCACUGAAGCUAAUGAAGUGAUUUCCUGGAGAACAGUUCGACCCAAAAAGCCCAUUUAUUACCUUUCUCAGAUAUUGUAGUUUGUGUCUUGGGACUGUCUUUUGUUCUCUUCCUAUUUGAUAUCUUCACCUUCCAGACCAUAACAGGCAGGGUUUUCCUCAACUUUAUCACAAUGCAGUUACAUACUUAUAGCCAUAAUAUCCCUUGCUUUGGGGGCGUGGGAGAAACAUGCAGCAUGCCACAUUUGACCACAUCCUCUGAAGCUGAGGUUGUGGUUCAGCUAAUUAUUUUCACGGCUGGAAGAGAACAGACAAUGCUGCCUAAAGAGUGGGAAGAUAUGUGUCUGUGUGAGCCUGUGUUUGUGUGGUUAUACCAUCUGGGAAGAGCAGAGCCAGAUAUACUUCCCCUUGGCUUUUUUUAAUGUGCAAAUCCUCAGUAAACAUGAAAAGUCUAAUUUCUCUGCUGAAGUCCUGCGUUUGUCUCAGGGUCGGAGUGCAUCUCACUGCAGAAACCCUGACCUCUGGAAUUCCUGUUUUUCAUUCCCCAACUGACUCUUUUUUGCUUCUGUGGGCAGGGGGGAAGUUGCCCUUCCUCUGCAUUUCUCGUUUUUGUUACACAAGCAGUAUGAGGUGCCCUUUAUUUAUAAUCUGAACGUUAGGGAUGUUGGGCCAAUCUGGUGCUUCCAGCUGGCUGAACACUUCCUAGAGCUUUGGAUGCCAGAUAUAACCUAAUUUAUUGUGGAAAACAGUAGGGGAAAUACACUUCUCACUAUCAAAGGUUAAUGCAGAAUAUCAGCAGCUCUUCAGCAAGGGUACACGUGUUGUUAGAUAGUCUGUGUCUUAUUAAAAUAGAAAAACAAAUUGCUUUCCUUUUUGAUGCUGCUGUUUAGCCCCUUCUAUUUUCCCUCCUUCCCCUUAGUUAUUUUAACUCCUUCAUUGCAUUUUGCACUUUUCACAAGUUACCUCAGGGAGAAAAAGGCAAAUGUACUUUGUUUGUUUGGCAUGAAACUGAGCAAAAUAAGGGGGAUUUCUUUUUCUUUUGGCUUAGUUUUAACUAAAACACCCAUUUCUGUGCCAAGACAGAGCCAAACUGCUGAAUUGGCCAAGGAUAUAAAUUGUACUGGUCUUUUUACCUCUAGAAAAUAUGAAAGCAUCCUUCUGCCACUGAGCUGGCACUCGUUGCUGGAUCAAGUGCUGCUAUUAACGGGAAAUCAGGAAAGCACAUUAUCACUCCAGUGCUGUCAUUACCAGAGGCUUUCACUGAGCUAUAGUCAGGAAAGUGACACUGGGAAGAACAGAGAAAAAUGGCACACUUUGAGCAAGGGAAGGGAAGCUUCAGACAAAAAACUUGGAGACACAUUAAGAGUUUGUGAAGGUACCCAGCAUGGAGGCAAUUGGCUGCUUUUAAAAGGGAUGUAUUAGGUAAAGUGUCCUAUUAUUCUUCAGGUUUAGAGAUAAAGCCAUAUAUACUUUUCUAAUGGGCUCAUUUAAUCAAUUCUAGAAAAUCUGAAACCUGCCAAGGCAAGACUGAGUCAGCCUGGAAUCCUACGAGGCUCAUUCUGCACCAAGAAAAACCCCAGAGAGAUUUUAUUGGCUACUUUUUUUCUUCCCACUAGAGUAAGUUCCCUCUCAGGGAUUCUUCUGCUUGAGAGAUGUUUUUUUAAUCAUCAGAAAUACACAGUGAACUGCACUGAUAGUUCAAUUAAAAAUAUAAUAGAAACAUAUAGAAUAAUAAGUUAGUAAAUAUUGUGGUUAUUUAAGACAUAAAGUUAUCACUUACUCCGAGUGUUGCCAGGUCAGUAGGUGGGGGAGCUGCUUUCUUCCUGCAAAGCUAUGCUGAAUUCACCAGUUCUUUUGUCAUUUGAGCCAUAAGGAAGGCUUAGGUGAACAUUUUGUUAUAGUUCACAGUCUGGGCUGCAUCUGACUUCCAUUUUAUGGGAUAAAAAUAUGACAAAUAAUACAUAAAUUCAGUUUGGUUUGCUUUUCCUUUUCAAAGUUCUCUAGAGACCUGAAAUAAUCUUCUUGACACCCAUGCAAGGUAAGCGUAGCUAUCAAGUUUUACAGAUGUGUAAACUGAGGCACAGAGAGGUUAAAUAGUGCCAUUUGAAAAUAUAGGUGUCUAAAAUGAAGCAACUUGAGUCCACAAUCCAAAGAGCAGAAGCUCCAAGCCCCUGAUUUCACUAGAAAACAAGAAUGCUCAGAAUAUCCAUGCAGAAGGCCCUGAAUUGAUGUGCUGGAAUCUGCUGCAGAGCAAGUGUCCCCAGGUAUGGUUCCCCAGCUUGUGGUCAGACCAGAGCACUCCUAGCCCUGUUUAGGAUUUGGGAAUCUGACACUUUUUACUGAUAUUUUCUCCCAACUUACCUGCUCUUAAUCAAGUCUCUUAAUUCUAUAGCUUCAUUUUUCUUUUUCUGUGUGAGAAGUCUCCUUAUUAGGCAUCAUCAACUUCUCAAGAAAACCUUUUUAGCAACAUAAAAUAUAUUUUUGUUUUUGUUUCUUGGGAUAGACUCCCCUCUGAGAAUUACUCUCCAAGCCACAUAUUUGCUUUGCUCAGCACUAUUCUAGUAGAAAUAUUUCUUGUUUAUUUAGUCUUAUGCACUGGUCUGACAUUCCCUUGUUGCUACAACACAUUUGAGUAAGAGAUUGACGCACCCAGGGAAUCCAAGCUUAUGCCCAGAAGUGAAAAACAAGCACUGAUUUUAACUGUGGUUUUUUGGGGGCUCUGGUUGGAGUAUCAGCACAUUCAAUUUUUCAGCACAUUCAAUUUUUCAGCACGUCCUGAGCUCUGACUGUAAAGCUGGGAUUGUUCUGGGCAUCUGAAGGCAGCAGCUUCACAACAAACAUUUCCAGCCUGGGGCUCCCAAGAGCAGAUGUACCUUUGAAACUUUGGUUAUUUGCACUGAACACUUAUUAGUUUGACUAAUACAAUUUCUGUCAAUUCAUAGUCGCAGUAAAUGAAACAAUAUUGAGCUAUUAUUUCACAAUUCUUCCAAAGUCAUCUAUUCCCUAAGCUACAGCAGAAAAGAAUAUUUCCUGGUCCCUCCCCCUAAGUUGUUUUCAAAGUGGUUUCAAAAAUCAUUCAGAUAAUGAGACUUUAGUUCUAUGAAAUUUUAUCAAAGGGCACUCUUUCCCUGGACUCAGAUAUGAACAUAUUCUGCCAAUCAGAUAAAACUUCUCAAGCUUUUUUCUAACAGUGUCAGUGGUUAACUUGAUCUUAUUGCACUGUAAACAAUUUUGUGCUACAAAUCAUUUUUCAUGGAAUCUCUUUGUUAUGUUGGGUGAACUCUGGAAAGAUUAUUUGUAAGAACAUUUCCAAGAACUUUACAGCAUAGUUUAGGCUUCAAUGAAAUCAAUAUUACUUAAAAAGAUUUUUCUUUAGAUUAAUAAAAGAGAAUGUAUAUUGAAAAUGACUGAUAGGGAAAUGUUUCAGUAUAGUAAUAGGCAGAAGAAAUACUUAUUAAGCAGAAAAAUAUCUGUAUACCAACCCCCUCUCCAUUUUAAAUUGUAUAUAUUAUUUUAGCUGUUAGGAAUCCAUCCUUCCACCUUGUGAAAGCUGACAAUUUUUACUUACAGCCUGAAGCUAAAUACUGCAGUGCCUCAAAAUGGAAGAUGAAACAGGCCAACAGGUUUUCUUUGUCUUUUGAAAAAAAAAUGGAGUGUCAUUUCUUUUCCCUCCCCAUCGUGUGUUCCUCCCCACUGCCCCCCCUGCUACAUCCCUCCUGGUAUUAGCAGCUUUUCCUCCAAAAAAGCACUAGAUGGUGCCCCUUUUCUUUGAGAGUGACAGAGCUGGAUUCCCCAGGGAUGUGCUGCCCUGCCGGGAAAAGCAUCGGACACAAAAACUUGGAGCGUCUCCUUGUUCCUUAAUACAAUUAUUUUAAUUCCUUGUUCCAAUAUCAGUCUCUUUUAUGUCUUUCAAGUCUUCAAACCUGAACUAGAUCCAACUUUAGGAGACCCUCUUGUUCCUGUUGGAAAAUGAGUCAUGACUUCAAAGGUUCAUGGGCAGUAAAAUAAUUUUUUAAAAAGUGAUUUUAAAUCAAAAAGAAGAAGGAACAGGGUAUGUACCUUCCUCCCUGUUGUCAGUAGCCCAGCACUGCAACAUCAAAGAAUAUUUGCAUUCUUUGCUGAAAAGAAAACUUUCCAAGUCAGCAAUCUUUAAUUAGAUGCUAGCUGGUCAGUCUGACUGAUAUUAAUUAGUUAAUUUUGUUAUGAACCUUAGUCUUUAACUGACUGAAUUUGUAAACAGAAUUGCUAUUGCAUUUCAAUAUUUCUUUCAAAUAAAAUGCCAAACAGGGA